AUGCCUGCGACGAUGACAUCCCGCGCUCUGCUGCUCGUUGGCGUCGUCCUGACGGCGCACAAGUUCUUGUGCACGGCGUACGUCGGCGGCGAUGGGUUCAGCGUGGAGUUCAUCCACCGUGACUCCGUCAAGUCGCCGUACCGUGACCCGUCGCUCACCGCGCCCGCCCGCGUGCUCGAGGCCGCGCGCCGGUCCACAUCGCGCGCCGCUGCGCUCUCGCGCGCCUACGCCCGCGCCGACGCAUCAUCAGCCGACGGCGCUGUGUCUGAGCUCACCUCCAGGCCAUUCGAGUACAUGAUGGCCGUGAACGUGGGCACGCCGCCCACCCGCAUGCUCGCCAUCGCCGACACCGGCAGCGACCUCAUCUGGCUCAACUGCAGCAACGGAGCCGGCGCUCCUGCCCCCGCGCCGCCGCCGGGCGUCCAGUUCAACUCCGCCAAUUCGACGACGUUCGGUCUCGUGAGCUGCGGCUCCGGCGCAUGCCGCGCGCUCCCCGAAGCCUCCUGCGCCGACUCCAAGUGCAGGUAUCUCUACUCCUACGGCGACGGCUCCCAGUCCACGAGCGGCCUCCUCUCCACAGAGACCUUCACCUUCGCCGACGACCAAGGCACCCGCGGCGAUCGGGCGAUGCGCGUGGCCAACGUCAGCUUCGGCUGCUCCACGACCAUGAUCGGCUCGUUCAUCGGGGACGGCCUCGUCGGACUCGGCGGCGGCGACCUCUCCCUCGUCAAUCAGUUAGGCGCAGACACAUCGCUCGGCCGGAGGUUCUCCUACUGCCUCGUGCCCUACUCCAUCAACGCCUCCUCCGUGCUCAACUUCGGUCCCCGCGCCGCCGUGACGGAGCCCGGCGCGGCGACGACGCCGCUGAUCCCAUCCGAAGUGAAGACCUACUACACCGUCGACCUCCGGUCCGUCAAGAUCGGGAACAAGACCUUCGCGGCGCCGCAGGAGUACCCCGUCAUCGUGGACUCCGGCUCGACGCUGACGUACCUCGCGAACGAGCUUGUGGACCCAUUGGUGAAAGAGCUAACCCAGAGGGUCAAGCUCCCGCCGGCGAAGUCGCCGGAAGAGCUCCUGCCACUGUGCUUCGACGUGAGCGGGGUAGGAGAGGGGCAGGUUGCCGCGAUGAUCCCUGACGUGGCGCUGGAACUGGGCUCCGGCGGCGGUGCGACGGUCACGCUCAAGUCGGAGAACACGUUCGUCGUUGUGCACGAGGGGACCCUGUGCUUGGCGGUGGUGGCCCUGCAGUUUCCUCCUGUGUCCAUCAUCGGGAAUAUUGCGCAGCAGAACAUGCACGUUGGGUACGACCUCGACAAGGGCACCGUGACCUUCGCCCCAGCAGACUGCGCCAGGUCCUCCGGCUCUCUGUAUAUCUGA
rnacentral:rRNA from 1 species